AUGAGUAAACAACAGAUAAAGCAUUUUCCUGAAUUCUUGCUUCUGCAAGAAGGAGAGAACUUCACCACAUACUGCAAUUCCUCAAGCACACCUUGCAGUUUACAGUGGUUUCAGCAGAGGCCUGGGGGAAGUCCUGUCCUCUUGAUGAUAUUAGCUAAGGGUGGAGAAGUGAAGACGGAGCAGAGACGGACAGAUCGGCAUGGAGAGUCCAGACAGCACAGCUCCCUGCGCCUCGUGGCUGCCCAGCUCUCAGACGUAGGAACCUACUUCUGGGCAAGGGGACAGUGCUCUGGAAGCACCUGCUGUCUGUCCCCAAACCUCACUGUGGGCUCCGGGGUCGCUCCUCCUCAUCUCUCCUCAGAGCAGACAAAGCUGAAGUCAUGA